rnacentral:ncRNA from 17 species
CCACCAUCCAGAGUGGCUGAGAGACCUGGCUCGAUGAUGCCGCAGCAACCCGCUUCGUUUGCGCAGUGUGGGUGCUACCGCCAGGACCGAUGGAGG